rnacentral:rRNA from 1 species
GACGAACGCUGGCGGCGUGCUUAACACAUGCAAGUCGAACGGAAAGGCCCUGCUUUUGUGGGGUGCUCGAGUGGCGAACGGGUGAGUAACACGUGAGUAACCUGCCCUUGACUUUGGGAUAACUUCAGGAAACUGGGGCUAAUACCGGAUAGGAGCUCCUGCUGCAUGGUGGGGGUUGGAAAGUUUCGGCGGUUGGGGAUGGACUCGCGGCUUAUCAGCUUGUUGGUGGGGUAGUGGCUUACCAAGGCUUUGACGGGUAGCCGGCCUGAGAGGGUGACCGGCCACAUUGGGACUGAGAUACGGCCCAGACUCCUACGGGAGGCAGCAGUGGGGAAUAUUGCACAAUGGGCGGAAGCCUGAUGCAGCAACGCCGCGUGCGGGAUGACGGCCUUCGGGUUGUAAACCGCUUUCGCCUGUGACGAAGCGUGAGUGACGGUAAUGGGUAAAGAAGCACCGGCUAACUACGUGCCAGCAGCCGCGGUGAUACGUAGGGUGCGAGCGUUGUCCGGAUUUAUUGGGCGUAAAGGGCUCGUAGGUGGUUGAUCGCGUCGGAAGUGUAAUCUUGGGGCUUAACCCUGAGCGUGCUUUCGAUACGGGUUGACUUGAGGAAGGUAGGGGAGAAUGGAAUUCCUGGUGGAGCGGUGGAAUGCGCAGACAUCAGGAGGAACACCAGUGGCGAAGGCGGUUCUCUGGGCCUUUCCUGACGCUGAGGAGCGAAAGCGUGGGGAGCGAACAGGCUUAGAUACCCUGGUAGUCCACGCUGUAAACGGUGGGUACUAGGUGUGGGGUCCAUUCCACGGGUUCCGUGCCGUAGCUAACGCUUUAAGUACCCCGCCUGGGGAGUACGGCCGCAAGGCUAAAACUCAAAGGAAUUGACGGGGCCCCGCACAAGCGGCGGAGCAUGCGGAUUAAUUCGAUGCAACGCGUAGAACCUUACCUGGGUUUGACAUGGAUCGGGAGUGCUCAGAGAUGGGUGUGCCUCUUUUGGGGUCGGUUCACAGGUGGUGCAUGGCUGUCGUCAGCUCGUGUCGUGAGAUGUUGGGUUAAGUCCCGCAACGAGCGCAACCCUUGUUCACUGUUGCCAGCACGUUAUGGUGGGGACUCAGUGGAGACCGCCGGGGUCAACUCGGAGGAAGGUGGGGAUGACGUCAAGUCAUCAUGCCCCUUAUGUCCAGGGCUUCACGCAUGCUACAAUGGCUGGUACAGAGAGUGGCGAGCCUGUGAGGGUGAGCGAAUCUCGGAAAGCCGGUCUCAGUUCGGAUUGGGGUCUGCAACUCGACCUCAUGAAGUCGGAGUCGCUAGUAAUCGCAGAUCAGCAACGCUGCGGUGAAUACGUUCCCGGG